rnacentral:rRNA from 1 species
UACGUAGGGGGCUAGCGUUGUCCGGAAUCAUUGGGCGUAAAGCGCGUGUAGGCGGCCCGGUAAGUCCGCUGUGAAAGUCGGGGGCUCAACCCUCGGAUGCCGGUGGAUACUGUCGGGCUUGAGUACGGAAGAGGCGAGUGGAAUUCCUGGUGUAGCGGUGAAAUGCGCAGAUAUCAGGAAGAACACCCGUGGCUAAGGCGGUUCUCUAGUACGGUACUGACGCUGAGACGCGAAAGCGUGGGGAGCGAACAGG